rnacentral:rRNA from 1 species
CCUACGGGAGGCAGCAGUGGGGAAUAUUGGACAAUGGGGGCAACCCUGAUCCAGCCAUGCCGCGUGUGUGAAGAAGGCUUUCGGGUUGUAAAGCACUUUCAGUAGGGAGGAAAACCUUAUGGUUAAUACCCAUGAGGCUUGACGUUACCUACAGAAGAAGCACCGGCUAACUCCGUGCCAGCAGCCGCGGUAAUA